rnacentral:rRNA from 1 species
UAAGGAAUAUUGGUCAAUGUACGCAAGUCUGAACCAGCCAUGCCGCGUGAAGGAUGAAGGUCCUCUGGAUUGUAAACUUCUUUUAUCUGGGACGAAAACGGGAUUUUUAUCUCAAUUGACGGUACCAGAGGAAUAAGCACCGGCUAACUCCGUGCCAGCAGCCGCGGUAAUACGGAGGGUGCGAGCGUUAUCCGGAUUUACUGGGUUUAAAGGGUGCGUAGGUGGGCUUAUAAGUCAGUGGUGAAAUCUCCGAGCUUAACUUGGAAACUGCCGUUGAUACUAUAGGUCUUGAAUUAUCUGGAGGUAAGCGGAAUAUGUCAUGUAGCGGUGAAAUGCUUAGAUAUGACAUAGAACACCAAUUGCGAAGGCAGCUUACUACAUAUAAAUUGACGCUGAGGCACGAAAGCGUGGGGAUCAAACA